rnacentral:ncRNA from 1 species
GUUGUUGCCAUGGUAAUCCUGCUCAGUAGGAGAGGAACCGCAGGUUCAGACAUUUGGUGUAUGUGCUUGGCUGAGGAGCCAAGCGGGGAAGCUACCAUCUGUGGGAUUAUGACUGAACGCCUCUACGUCAGAAUCCCGCCCAGGUGGAACAAU